rnacentral:rRNA from 1 species
AACACGGAAGUGAAACGCCGCAGCGCCGAUGGUAGUUUGACGACAGGUCAUGCGAGAGUAGGACGUUGCCAGGU